GUUGGUUAGAAUACCGGCCUGUCACGCCGGGGGUCGCGGGUUCGAGUCCCGUCCACUCCG
rnacentral:tRNA from 1 species